UACAGAGGAUGCAAGCGUUAUCCGGAAUUAUUGGGCGUAAAGCGUCUGUAGGCGGCUUUUCAAGUCCGCCGUCAAAUCCCAGGGCUCAACCCUGGACGGGCGGUGGAAACUACCAAGCUGGAGUACGGUAGGGGCAGAGGGAAUUUCCGGUGGAGCGGUGAAAUGCAUUGAGAUCGGAAAGAACACCAACGGCGAAAGCACGCUGCUGGGCCGACACUGACACUGAGAGACGAAAGCUAGGGGAGCAAAUGGG
rnacentral:rRNA from 1 species